rnacentral:rRNA from 1 species
GUGAGGUUGGGGCGGGGAAGGGCGGUAAUGGGAGGGGGGUUGGGUUUGUUGGUUGUGUUUGGGUGGAAGUGUCGCUUAGGUGGUGCGACGGGUCUCGUGUGAAAGCUAUAGGCGCAACUUGUGGUCUGCAUGGGAAACUGUCGUGCUGGAGUACUGGAGAGGUGAGUGGGAGUCCCGGUGUAGCGGUGAAAUGCGUAGAUAUCGGGAGGAACACCUGUGGCGAAAGCGGCUCACUGGACAGUUACUGACGCUGAUGCGCGAAAGCUAGGGGAGCAAACAGGAUUAGAUACCCGAGUAGUC